rnacentral:rRNA from 1 species
AGCUUGUUGGUAGUGUAAGAGACUACCAAGGCGGUGACGGGUAGCGGGUUUGAGGGGAUGAUCCGCCACACUGGUACUGAGACACGGACCAGACUCCUACGGGAGGCAGCAGUGAGGAGUAUUGCACAAUGGGGGAAACCCUGAUGCAGCAACGCCGCGUGGAGGAUGACGCAUUUCGGUGUGUAAACUCCUUUUAUAUGUCAAGAAAAUGACGGUAGCAUAUGAAUAAGCACCGGCUAACUCCGUGCCAGCAGCCGCGGUAAUACGGAGGGUGCAAGCGUUAUUCGGAAUCACUGGGCGUAAAGGACGCGUAGGCGGGUUGGAAAGUCAGAUGUGAAAUCCUACAGCUUAACUGUAGAACUGCAUUUGAAACUUCCAACCUAGAGUAUGGGAGGGGGAGAUGGAAUUAGUGGUGUAGGGGUAAAAUCCCGUAGAUAUCACUAGGAAUACCCAAAGCGAAGGCGAUCUCCUGGAACAUUACUGACGCUAAGGCGUGAAAGCGUGGGGAGCAAACAGGAUUAGAUACCCUGGUAGUCCACGCCCUAAACGAUGAACACUAGUCGUCGGGAUGCUAGUCAUCUCGGUGAUGCACUUAACAGAUUAAGUGUUCCGCCUGGGGAGUACGGUCGCAAGAUUAAAACUCAAAGGAAUAGACGGGGACCCGCACAAGUGGUGGAGCAUGUGGUUUAAUUCGAAGAUACGCGAAGAACCUUACCUGGCCUUGACAUUGAGAGAACACUCUAGAGAUAGAGUGGUGCCCUUCGGGGAACUUGAAAACAGGUGCUGCACGGCUGUCGUCAGCUCGUGUCGUGAGAUGUUGGGUUAAGUCCCGCAACGAGCGCAACCCUCGUCCUUAGUUGCUAGCAGUUCGGCUGAGCACUCUAAGGAGACUGCCUUCGUAAGGAGGAGGAAGGUGAGGACGACGUCAAGUCAUCAUGGCCCUUAUGGCCAGGGCUACACACGUGCUACAAUGGGGCGUACAGAGUGUUGCGAUACCGCGAGGUGGAGCUAAUCACUUAAAGCGUCUCUCAGUUCGGAUUGGAGUCUGCAACUCGACUCCAUGAAGCUGGAAUCACUAGUAAUCGUAGAUCAGCAAUGCUACGGUGAAUACGUUCCCGGGUCUUGUACUCACCGCCCGUCA